CUUUUCUUAAAAAACCUUCCAGGGGGACUGGAUAGCUCAAGGGGUUGGUAAUAGGAUACAGAGCCUUUCAUCUCUAGGUCACCAGUUCGCAUCCAGGCCAGGUUUGUCAUUAACACUAAACAGAUGAAUCUCAAUCCAAAAUGCAUCCUGAACAGGAAAGAGGCACUAGCUGGCCUAGAAAUGCAAAACAGCAAUACCAUAAUGCAGUGACAUAGAUCAGGUCAGACUGCGAAUAAUUUCCUGAAUCAUUCCUUAUUUUUGUGUUUUUCUCUAUUUCAUCAACCUAAAUAGCAACAGAUUGAUUCCCUGUACUGGAUAGUGAGACAAGAUUUCCCUCAUUCCUUUAAGAUUAAGAUUCUUAUAAUCAGACUUUAUUAGCCCUUUUAAGUAAAAAUUUUGACAUGUGACUAGCUCUUGCACAUCUGACC